GUGCUCUUUGUGGCUAUGGCACGGUAGCACAGCCUUCAUUUCGUGUGGACUCCUUAGGCUCAGAAUAGAGCUCUGGGUUUUGGAGUGUGUCAGCCUGUAUUAGCAUUCAGACUCCAGCGGUAGAGUAAAAAAAAAUACAUUGUGACCAACUGGGGUUUAUUCCAGAAAUGCCAAAAUGGCUUUUUUUUCUUUUUCUUUUUCUUUUUCUUUUUUUUUUUGAGACAGAGUCUCUCUGGGUCUCCUAGGCUGGAGUGCAGAGGCGUGAUCACAGUGGCGUGAUCACAGCUCACUACAGCCUCAACCUCCCGGCCUCAAGCGAUCCUCCCUCCACAGCCUUCUGAGUAGCUGGGAAUACAGGUGUGUACCACUAUGCCCAGCAUGGUGUUUUUAGUAAAGACAGGGUUUUGCCAUGUUGCCCAGGCUGGUCUUGAACUCCCGGGCUCAAGCAAUUUUCCUGCCUCAGUUUCCCAAAACCACCCGUAAGCCACUGUGCCCAGCCCAGAAUGGCUAAUAUUCAAAAACCAUUAAUGAGCUUUAUCAUAUUAACAAAGUAAAAAAAAAAUCAGUAUGAUCAUCUUAUAUAUGCUAAAAGAAUAUUUGACAAAAUUUAGUAUCUAUGUUUUUUGGUUUUGGGUUUUUUUUUUUUUUUUGAGAUGGAGUCUUGCUCUGUCACCCAGGCUGGAGUAUAGUGGUGUGAUCUCAGCUCACUGCAACCUAUGCCUCCCGAGUUCAAACGAUUCUCCUGUCUCAGCCUCCUGAGUAGCUGGGAUUACAGGCUCUGGCCACCAUGCCCAGCUAAUUUUUUUGUAUUUUUAGUAGAGACAGGGUUUGGCCAGGCUGGUCUCAAACUCCUGACCUCGUGAUCCGCCUGCCUCGGCCUCCCAAAGUGCUGGGAUUACAGGCAUGAGCCACCUCGGCUGGCUCUAUGAAUUUUUUUUUUAGAAAAACACUGACUAGCUGGGUGUGGUCAUGUACAACUGUGGUCCCAGCUACUUGGGAGGCUGAGAUAGGAGGAUCUCUUUAGCCCGUGGGUUCAAUUCUGCAGUGAGCUAUGAUCGCACCACUGCACUGAAGCCUGGGCAACAGGGUGAGACUCUGUCUCAAAAAAAGAAAGAAAGAAAAUUAAAGUACAGUGGCAAGGGCAAAGGUGUCACUAGUCAAUGUCAGGAGGGCAGUGCCCAGUGGUGGUGGUGGUAAUGGUGGCUUCCCCACCGGGGUGUGGCUGCAUCUGAUAUUAGGAACAUUCUUGCUGCUGUCUAUUCUUGGCCUCCUGCCACAUUCCUGAGCCGGAUUCCGUAGCCUUUCCAUGUAUCCUUUGCUUUUUUUUUAGACAGAGUCUUGCUCUGUCACCCAGGCUGGAGUGUAGUGGCACGAUCUCAGUUUACUGCAACCUCUGCCUCCUGGGUUCAAGAAAUUCUCCUUCCUCAGCCUCCCGAGUAGCUGGGAUUACAGGCAUGCACCACCAUGCCCGGCUAAUUUUUUUUUUGUAUUUUUAGUAGAGAUGGGGUUUUACCAUGUUGGCCAGGCUGGUCUCAAACUCCUGACCUGAGAUGAUCCACCUGUCUCAGCCUCGCAAGAGUGCUGGGAUUAUAGGCAUGAGCCAGGUCGUGGCUCUUCUGCUUUUUUUUUUUUUUUUGAGAGGGAGUCUCGCUGUCACCCAGGCUGGAGUGCAGUGGCUCUAUCUCUGCUCACUGCAAGCUCUGCCUCCCGGGUUCAGGCCAUUCUCCUGCCUCAGCCUCCCAAAUAGCUGGGACUACAGGCACCUGCCACCACGCCUGGCUAAUUUUUUGUAUUUUUAGUAGAGACGGGGUUUCACCAUGUUAGCCAGGAUGGUCUCGAUCUCCUGACCUCGUGAUCCGCCCGCCUCGGCCUCCCAAAGUGCUGGGAUUAUAGGCGUGAGCCACCGCGCCCGGCUCUUUUGCUUUUACUCAAAGUCCUUCAACACAUUCCUCCUCUGCUUCUUGGAUCCAAACAAGAGCCACCACAGCCAGAGGCUCUCCCUGCUGCAUGGCAAGAGACCCUCAGGAAUUCCCCUUCACAUAGCCCAAGAGGAGGUUUCAUGCGCAUGAGAUGAUUUUCGUUUUUCUCCUGAUGCAGAUUGGAUUAACAGAUGGUGACUUUUGUCAUCCUUAAGCAAAAUAGACUGAAGUCUUCGGUUUUGAAGACGUAGGCUGCAUUUUUGGGGGAACGACGAAGGAAAUCUAUUUGAUUUGUAAAACUCCCCUGCUGAAUGUACUUCUAAGACUGGAAAUAGAUCAAGACUCCAUCUUAUAGGGGACUGGUGAGAUGAACGAUGGCAGAUUCAAUAAUGCAAACAUGUCUGUAUCUUCUUAAAAGGAUGAGGAAGCUCUGUUUACCUAAAUGAAAAGCUUUCUAGGAGGAAGUCCUAAGUGAACAAUGAUGCAUGAGGAUGCAAUCUUACAGGCAAGGAGCCCAGUGAUAACAAAUGGCUGUAGAUGCUUUUCCUCCAUCAAGCUUCCAGGAGGAGAUGAGAUGGAGCCCAUCGCUGAGCCAAGGUCACCAGCCCCAUUUCACAAAUGUAAAUAGCAGGUGUCCCCCACACAGUCUGAACACUUGGAGGCCAAGAUUCAUUUCUCUCAGGGCCCACCAUCCUCAAGCAUGGGAUUGAUUUAGUGCCUCUUGCUGGGAAGCAAAGUUCUGGGAGCCAUAGUGGGAUCCUCCCUCCCUCCCUGCAGGAGACUGGGGCCCUUCCAAGCAGCAACUGAGACCAGUCAACAACCUCUGCCUUAGGCCAGGCGCGGUGGCUCACGCCUGUAAUCCCAACACUUUGGGAGGCUGAGGCGGGCAGAUCAUCUGAGGUCAGGAGUUCAAAACCAUCCUGGCCAACAUGGUGAAACCCCGUCUCUACUAAAAAUACAAAAAUUAGCUGGGCGUGGUGGUGCGUGCCUGUUGUCCUAGCUACUCCGGAGGCCAAGGCAGGAGAAUUCCUUGAACCUGGGAGACAGAGGUUGCAGGUCUGAGAUUGCACCACAGCAUCCAGCCUGGGCGACAGAGUGAGACCCUGUCUCAAAAAGAAACAAAUUAAAAAACAAAAAACAAAAAACAACCUCUGCCUGCCCUUGGGGCCUAGCAUGAGCCCCUGCACACAGGAGGCUUCUAUAAAAAUAGCUCAUUUCGGGUAAUCUAGGGCAGAACCCAGGCUUUUACCACUUGUGGUUUCUCUUUCUAAAUGUGUAGUUAAAAGCUGUAGGCCAGACCUGGUGCAUGGUGGCUCAUGCCUGGAAUCCCAACACUUUGGGAGGCUGAGGUGGGAGAAUCACUUGAGGUCAGGAAUUUGAGAUCAGCUUGGCCAAUAUAGCAAGACCCUGACUCUUUAAAAAAAAAAUUUUUUUUUUAAUUAGCCAGGCAAGGUGGUUGUGCCUAUAGUUCCAGCUACUCAGGAGGCUGAGGCAGGAGGCUCACUUGAGCCCAGGAGUGCGAGGCUGCAGUGAGCUGUGACUGCACUGCUACACUCCAGCCUGGACAAACUGAGCAAGACCCCAUCUUAAAAAAAAAAAAAAAAAAAAAAAAAAAAAAAGACUGGUUGCAGUGGCUCAUGCCUGUAAUCCCAGCACUUUGGGAGGCCGAGGUGGGCGGAUCACCUGAGGUCGGGAGUUCGAGACCAGCCUGACCAACAUGGAGAAACUCCAUCUCUACUAAAAAUACAGAAUUAGCUGGGUGUGGUGGCACAUGCCUGUAAUCCCAGCAACUCAGGAGGCUGAGGCAGGAGAAUCACUUGAACCCAGGAGGCGGAGGUUGCUGUGAGCUGAGAUCGCGCCAUUGCACCCCAGCCUGGGCAACAAGAGCAAAACUCCGUCUCAAAAAAAAAAAAAAGAAGAAGAAGAAGAAACCCAAACACACACACAAACAAAAUAACAGGUGCAGGCCAGUUAAACAAAAACAACUCAAGAACUGUGCCCUGCAGGGGCGCAUUCAUGUGCGGGUGCCCCCUAGAGGACUCUGAGGGUAGAAUGCAUUCAUCCUGAAUGGAUGCAAGAGGAUCAUUUUUCUUCAUCCAAAGUGAAUUCCCUACCGUAUGCUAUGCCCAGGGGACAUGGCCAGUGAACAAGACAUGCAAACAUUAUUGCUGCUGCUCUGUUCACACAUGCAAGAGAGAGACAAUGAGUCAGCAAACACACACAUAAGUUGUUUUUGUAUAGCAAAAUGUACCAGAACAUAAGAUAUAGGGGACUGGUGGCUGGGCGUGGUGGCUCAUGCCUGUCAUCCCAGCACUGUGGGAGGCCGAGGCAGGUGGAUCACCUGAGGUCAGGAGUUGAGACCAGCCUGGGCAACAUGGGGAAACCCCAUCUCUACUAAAAAAUACAAGUCCCAGCUACUCAGGAGGCUGAGGCAGGGGAAUUGCUUGAACCUGGGAGGCGGAGGUUGCAGUGAGCCAAGAUCGCCCCACUGCAAUCCAGCCUGGGUGACAGGUAGAGACUCCAUCUCAAAAUGAUGAUGAUAAGAAGAAGAAGAAGAAGAAGAAGAAGGCUGGGCACGGUGGCUCACGCCUGUAAUCCCAUCACUUUGGGAGGCUGAGGCAGGCAGAUCACGAGGUCAGGAGUUCGAGACCAGUCUGACCAACAUGGUGAAGCCCCAUCUCUACUAAAACUACAAAAAUUAGUCGGGCAUGGUGGUGUACGCCUGUAAUCCCAGCUACUCAGGAGGCUGAGGCAGGAGAAUUGCUUGACCCUGGGAGGCAGAGGUUGCAGUGAGCCGAGAUCGUGCCACUGCACUCCAGCCUGGGUGACAGAGCAAGACUCCAUCUCAGAUAAUAAUAAUAAUAAUAAUGGCUCAAGCUAAUAAAAGAAGGCCUGUCAAUGCACCUAUAUCACCUUCUCUGUUGCAUUAUUAAAAAAAAAAAGAUAUAGGAGGCUGGGGUGAGCUACUUUAGAUGGAGUGGUCAGGGAAAGGCCUUUUGAGGGGAGGACUCUGAGCUGCUGGCUGAAGGAUAAGACAGAACCACCACCCAAAGCAUCUAAGAAAGGCUGCCAGUCCAGACACAGGCGCCCUGAGUGGUACACAAUAGGUGUGCUCAUCCGAGAGCAAUGAGGCUAGUGCCGCUGAAUUCAGAGUGAUUGAGGAACUGCGGUAGGAAAUGAGGCAAAUAAUGUGGUAUUGUCGCAACCAUGGAAAUGCAGGCUGAUGACACAGAACACUACAGAUUUCAGAAACAGAUGCACUUGAUCUGUGCACAAAGUCACAUUGCUUUUUUGCAGUCGAGAACAGACAUUUUUGUGGAGCUGUAUUCGGUCCAGGACCCCGACCUUACACCGUACCCCAAAUACAUUUCUAGAUGGUUCACAUGUCUAAGUGUGAAAGAUAAAACUAUAAAUAUUCAAGAGCAAGGCAUUGGGAAACAUCUCUGGGAUAUCAGGAUUGGCAAGGAUUUCUUUUUUCUUUCCUUUUUUUUUUUUUGAGACAGAUUCUUGCUCUGUUGCCCAGAAUGGAGUGCAGUGGCGCGAUCUUGGCUCACUGCCAGCCUCCGCUUCCUGGGUUCAAGCGAUUCUCCUGCCUCAGCCUCCCGAGUAGCUGGGACUACAGGCGCCCACCAUGCCCACCUAAUUUUUAUAUUUUUAGUAGAGACGGGGUUUCACCAUGUUGGCCAGGCUGAUCUCAAACUCCUGACAUCAAGUGAUCCGCCCGCCUCAGCCUCCCACAGUGCUGGGAUUACAGGCAAGAGCCACCGCGCC
rnacentral:lncRNA from 1 species